rnacentral:rRNA from 1 species
GACAUGCAAGUCGAACGGAAGUCGUUAUAAAAAGGAUUGAAGAUUUAUCUGGAUUGAGAUUUUAUAACAAUGGCUUUAGUGGCGGACUGGUGAGUAACGCGUGAGCAACCUGCCUACUAGAGGGGAAUAACAGUGAGAAAUCAUUGCUAAUACCGCAUAUGCCAUGAACAUCACAUGAUGAAAAUGGGAAAAGAGUAAUCUACUAGUAGAUGGGCUCGCGUCUGAUUAGAUAGUUGGUGGGGUAACGGCCUACCAAGUCAACGAUCAGUAGCCGGACUGAGAGGUUGAACGGCCACAUUGGGACUGAGAUACGGCCCAGACUCCUACGGGAGGCAGCAGUCGGGAAUAUUGCGCAAUGGAGGAAACUCUGACGCAGUGACGCCGCGUAUAGGAAGAAGGUUUUCGGAUUGUAAACUAUUGUCGUUAGGGAAGAUACAAGACAGUACCUAAGGAGGAAGCUCCGGCUAACUACGUGCCAGCAGCCGCGGUAAUACGUAGGGAGCAAGCGUUAUCCGGAUUUAUUGGGUGUAAAGGGUGCGUAGACGGGACAACAAGUUAGUUGUGAAAUCCCUCGGCUUAACUGAGGAACUGCAACUAAAACUAUUGUUCUUGAGUGUUGGAGAGGAAAGUGGAAUUCCUAGUGUAGCGGUGAAAUGCGUAGAUAUUAGGAGGAACACCGGUGGCGAAGGCGACUUUCUGGACAAUAACUGACGUUGAGGCACGAAAGUGUGGGGAGCAAACAGGAUUAGAUACCCUGGUAGUCCACACCGUAAACGAUGGAUACUAGUGUAGGAAAUGAUUUCAUUUUCUGUGCCGUCGCAACGCAAUAAGUAUCCCACCUGGGGAGUACGGCCGCAAGGUUGAAACUCAA